GACGAACGCUGGCGGCGUGCUUAACACAUGCAAGUCGAACGGAAAGGCCUCUUUCGGGGGGUACUCGAGUGGCGAACGGGUGAGUAACACGUGAGUAACCUGCCCUUGACUUUGGGAUAACUUCAGGAAACUGGGGCUAAUACCGGAUAGGAGCUCCUGCUGCAUGGUGGGGGUUGGAAAGUUUCGGCGGUUGGGGAUGGACUCGCGGCUUAUCAGCUUGUUGGUGGGGUAGUGGCUUACCAAGGCUUUGAUGGGUAGCCGGCCUGAGAGGGUGACCGGCCACAUUGGGACUGAGAUACGGCCCAGACUCCUACGGGAGGCAGCAGUGGGGAAUAUUGCACAAUGGGUGGAAGCCUGAUGCAGCAACGCCGUGUGCGGGAUGACGGCCUUCGGGUUGUAAACCGCUUUCGCUCAUGACGAAGCUUUGUGUGACGGUAGUGGGUAAAGAAGCACCGGCUAACUACGUG
rnacentral:rRNA from 1 species